AGAGUUUGAUCAUGGCUCAGGGCGAACGCUGGCGGCGUGCCUAAUACAUGCAAGUCGAGCGAGCGGAACUAACAGAUUUACUUCGGUAAUGACGUUAGGAAAGCGAGCGGCGGAUGGGUGAGUAACACGUGGGGAACCUGCCCCAUAGUCUGGGAUACCACUUGGAAACAGGUGCUAAUACCGGAUAAGAAAGCAGAUCGCAUGAUCAGCUUUUAAAAGGCGGCGUAAGCUGUCGCUAUGGGAUGGCCCCGCGGUGCAUUAGCUAGUUGGUAAGGUAAAGGCUUACCAAGGCGAUGAUGCAUAGCCGAGUUGAGAGACUGAUCGGCCACAUUGGGACUGAGACACGGCCCAAACUCCUACGGGAGGCAGCAGUAGGGAAUCUUCCACAAUGGACGCAAGUCUGAUGGAGCAACGCCGCGUGAGUGAAGAAGGUUUUCGGAUCGUAAAGCUCUGUUGUUGGUGAAGAAGGAUAGAGGUAGUAACUGGCCUUUAUUUGACGGUAAUCAACCAGAAAGUCACGGCUAACUACGUGCCAGCAGCCGCGGUAAUACGUAGGUGGCAAGCGUUGUCCGGAUUUAUUGGGCGUAAAGCGAGCGCAGGCGGAAGAAUAAGUCUGAUGUGAAAGCCCUCGGCUUAACCGAGGAACUGCAUCGGAAACUGUUUUUCUUGAGUGCAGAAGAGGAGAGUGGAACUCCAUGUGUAGCGGUGGAAUGCGUAGAUAUAUGGAAGAACACCAGUGGCGAAGGCGGCUCUCUGGUCUGCAACUGACGCUGAGGCUCGAAAGCAUGGGUAGCGAACAGGAUUAGAUACCCUGGUAGUCC
rnacentral:rRNA from 1 species